CGCAUCUUGCGCUCCUUGGUAUUCCGAGGAGCAUGCCUGUUUGAGUGUCGCGAAAUACUCUCAACUUCAAUCUUUUUUGAUUGAAAUUGGAUUUGGGUGUUGUUGUGGCUAUCACAACUCAUCCUAAAUGCAUUAGCGAUCUGCCUACGAUCACACGCAAUGUGAUAAGAAAAAGCAUUGUUGAGAUUGAUCCAGGUUGCUUCUAACCGUCGAAAGACAAUAUAUCAUGUCGUUUGACCUCAAAUCAGGUAGGACUACCCGCUGAACUUAA
rnacentral:misc_RNA from 1 species